CUCUGUUAAACAAAAAAGAGGGCACGUUAGUUGAAACAAAAGACAAUUUCAGUUCUCUAAUUCUAUCGUAAGUAUUUUCCAUGCUGUGUUGCUAUACUUUUAUAAACACUAAGUUCACGGGAACUUAGAAAUUGCAGAUUUUCAAUAUAAAACCGAAUAGUUUCAACUGAUGAUAAAAAUGAAAUGAACGUCAGUCAGGUUCGACGUGAAACUGAGAGACAUCCUGGCGAUAGAACGAAUCCCUGGAAACUAGACGUGUUAAUCAGAAACUCGAGAGGCUGGUAACGAGCUACAAGUUCGACGCAAAAUACCAAUUGCGUGGGCGACGUCGUCCUUGCCGGGAUCACGGUGGCACGCUGCAACAGUUUAUUGAUAUAUUCCAUUUCUCCCGCGAAUAAGUACCAGAGGAGAGGAGAGGAGAACGGUUCAACGUGCCCGUAUACCGCGAGCAAUCCACGUUCACUGAUCGCAAAGAUCAGCUGACGGCGUGGCUCGCGAUUUCUUUCAGAAAUUGCGCAACUUCGCGAGGCUGAGACUAAUUAUAAAAUAUACCCACCGAACGAGAGGGAGAGGAGACCAGGAUUUUGUUUUGCCGGAUCUUCGCGCGCCAGUGUUGGCCGCGAAUCCAUGCCAAGAACAGUUAUGAACGGAUUCUCUUCACGGUUUCAUGAAAAAUGAACUUUCAUCGGGAAGGUAUCAUCGAUUUCAGUUUUUAUACGAUCCGGAGUCAUUGUGCGGUGAAUCGUGUGGUGUCUCGCGAUAUUUUUAUGCGGUACCCCCGACGACGCAACCUGUGCGUCUUAUCUGAUACAACUAAUGACGCAUCAUGUGUGUCAUAUCCUUUUAUCCAGUGCAAAUAAGCGAAAUGAUACGAUUCAUGAAAGAUGAAGUCAAUAAUAAUUUUAAAAGAAAUUCCCACAGUAAGACCGUGACCUCCAACGAAUUGAAAAGUGAACUAAAACUUGUAUGAAUAACGCAGUUAUUGAAAAUCAAUCCUGGCAAAAAGAGCUCUUUUCCCUGUUUUCAUUCAUCGUAUGCAAAAGGAAAAAGCGAUGAAACAAUGAAGCGUUUGACGAACGGCAAGAAGUAGGUCGUGCCUCGAUGAAACGCAAAAUUUCGCGGCACGCGAUUUGAUUCGCAAAUCUACGCUGACGGCACGCUUUGUCUAUCGCGAAUACGAUUUAGGUCACUCGGUAUAUACGCGUCGAGGAGUUUUCGAAACGUAAAGCUCUUGAAAAUUGGUUUAGAAAAUUGAAUUGCAAGAUAAGAGAUCGACGUUCCUGUGAAAUUAAAUUAAAUUCCAUCGUUCUUCGAAGGAAGAUCCUUAUCACUUUUCGAUUAAAACUUCUGUCGAUUUCUAAAUAUAAAAGAUAUAUCGAAGGCCAUAUUUCGCUUCCAAGUAGGACAUUUUUUUCAUGCAAAGAGUACAUAUUGAACUAUUGAAGAUAAAAUUUUAGAACAAAGAAUCCUUGAAACGAAAGGAAAAUAGAGAUUCUGUGUAGCAUUGUUCGAAUAUGCCUUUGUUAAACAGUAAUGUUUCUUUCUUUCUUUCGUUUCAAUGCUUUAUUUGGUAUUCGAGGAUGGUUCGUGCAUGUGCAUGGUAAAUAACGAUAUAUAAAACUAACAUCUACCAUAUGUGCAGGUCUUAAACACGUUGAAUGUGAAAUGAAUUCCGUAUGCUUUGUCCACGACGCCGCAGUGGAGGCGUCCGUAUAUGGUCAGACAUAUCGUAAGGAGAAUCACCAUAUUACAUUAUAAUAAUUCUAAUACUAUUUUGUCCCCAUUUUUGUCACUGACUCUUAAGACAUUCAACGUGUUAGUUUCUAUAAAGAAUGAAAGAAACAGCUUUCAAUUCCUUGAAAUUUCCUCAAAAAAGUAUGACCCUUUGCCUUUUAAUUAGUUGCACUGGUGGCCUUAAUUACAAACUCAACUGAACAAGACACUCCAGAGGUGCUAAUUUCACUUCUAAUGAAAAUUUGCUAAAUUGAGAAUCGUAAAGUACAAAUUUAUCCAUCAGAUAUUAAUUACUUUCUUUGUUCCAAUGAUCGAACGUGCGAACAAUGAAUUAAAGCAGAUCAGAUCGUAAGGCAAAGGGUUGAUCCAUCGAUUUAUCGUUGUCAAACGUGAAAUCGAUUACAGAUUAAUACGAAGCUUUUUUUUCCAACGAGUUUACCUUGCGGAUGAGAUUCCCCAUGACUUCUGAAAGGACCUCCACUUUUCGGCUGUCACUGCCGUCCGAAACGCAACCAUAUUUACACGCGGGUUCAACGGAACCCCACGUUGUGAACUUUCUUACUUUCUCCCCCCCAUCUUUUCCCCCCCUCUAUAUAUCCACACCCCCUGACACGUUUAUUUUGGACGACACGGAACAUCCUUCAAGCUUGCCAUUCACCCCUUCUUCAUGGUUUUGUGUAUUUUUUUUUGUCUUUUUUUUUACUCCGUCUCGCUGACUCUGUUAGGACUUUUAAAAUUGACGUGUUCUAUCAGUUCAAUAAACUUUGACACACCUGCUGCGUCUAACGAAAGUAUAAUAGGAAAAAGAACUUUCUUGGAACAAGAGCUCUGUCUCAAAUGAAAGAAAAAACGAAAACUGACGAUGAAACGAUUUGUUGAAGAAUUUAAAGCAUGACUGUAGUUUCGAAAAGCAGAGAGAUCGAUUAGACUGAUUGCUAGAAACUUUUUUAUCCUUCGGUUCAUCCUUGAAAGUUAUAAAUACCAGAUUACUCGAUAUCGUUCGACUAAAGAUCAAAUUGUUACUUUCUUAGGUGUUAAUUAAGGAGCCUGUUUCAAUCUUUCUGAAUUGAGGGGAAUUCUAGAAACAAGUGAGGUUAGAAAGUAGAACGUUCAUGUCGUUCGCUAAUGCAACGCAAUUUAAUAUCACGAAAUAAGAAAUUAACUCCAGGAUUAUUCAUGCCAUGUUUUUUUUUUAGCUUCUUGUAUUAUCUUUCUUUUUUUUUUCUAAGAUAAUUACGUAAGUUACCGAAACGUAGUAGUUAAUAGAAUCUUAUGAACGAUUUGAAUAAUUUACACGUUUUAGAAGUUAUGUUUCUUAAUUUAUAAGGUCUAGCAUGUAUCGAGGCAAUUAACACUCUUAAUUACUGUUUAUAUUCCUAAAUGCCAAUUAUAGACCUCUUUAGAUCGAUUAACAACGCAAUGUACAGUAUCGAACGUAGUAGGCUUCCGUAGGAUGUAUAAUUAAUUUUAAUAAUAUUAACAUUAAACAUGAUUUAGAACAAACAAUAACAUAAUUUUUAGUUAUUAAUUAUUAUAAAAUUUAGUAUGUAACUGAAAAGUACAAGCAACAAGGUAAACAUCAAUUCAAAUUUUCGCGGGUAUGCGUUUGAAUGCAAGCGGAGGGCCGCCCCCGGCCUAUAUAUAUGGGACCUCUACCCACGCAUCUUCAUUUUCCCCGGGACCGUCUCCGGAGACGGAUCGGAGGCCGGGGAAGGGAAACCACAGGGGGGGGGGGAUCGCCAUUUUUCUUCGUGAAACGUACCAUGCUCGGUACUGUACAAGCUUUUUUUGUUAAGAACCAAGAAUGUAUAAAUAUGAACAGAGUAAAUUUGCUGUAGACUUGCAGGGAAUCGAUUUGAAACGUGGACAUGUUUAAUAGCCUUUAAAUAUUUUCGUUUCUUUUUUUUACAACGAAUAAACUCGAAUGCAAUGUGUUACAUCUCGACAUCAAAAAAUAUAAAAAUAAUAUGUUCGCACCUAGGUAUAUCGAAAAUUCCCGCCUUGAUGUUCGAUAUCUCCGAUCCUCUUUGAAUUUCGAAGAACAUUUCUCGUCAACCGUGACGAACUAUAGAUUACACUGUGCUCUUUUAUUCGUUAAACCUACGGUAUAAACUGAACGCGUUCACUCGAGCACUUCGUAUAUUCGAGGCAUUCAAGCGAACAAGGCGAUACAAUCAGUAGCAAUUUCCAUUCGAAACUCGAGAAGCUCGCGCUCUCCUUAUUCGGCGUGUUCUUGACAUCAUCGAGACCACAACACACACUAUCGGCUAUAUGUAUGAGUCAUUCCCAUCUUGUCGCGUUGACAGAGAAAAAGGAACACUUUUCAACAGGGGUGUGUCUCUCUCAUCCCUCUGCGUUUAGCUUCAUCGAGCUGCAGUCUUAUGGUCCAUAGAGAAUUUUAUACGGACAUUAAUGCAGUUCGAUACGACUGCAUUCGAUAAGAACGACGCGUUAAAGCGAGAGAGGAGGAACUAGGUCUGACGACACAGUUAGUUAUCACCUUUGCAGUCAGCUUGUCUCUGCUUGCCAAGAGAGACUUAGCCAGAAAACCACGCACUCACCGAACGUGACGGAUCAACGGAAGAUAUCUUUGACUGCACGCGACCACCACCAUCUACGUGUCUGUGUAUGUAUGAGAAACGACGAUGCUGCCAAAAAGCGAACGCCUCACCUUUCGAGAAUGAUUUUGCAAUCCUAAGAUGAAGGUUGCGGCUAGAUCGCGUACAACAUGGAACGAGGCUGCGAUUCGUCGAGUAGAUUCAAUGACCACAGAAUCAUCGCCACCGUCUUGCCACGAUGAUACAUCCACUAACACUUGCUGUUACACACCGCUGUCGUAACGUCGGACCGCGCACACGCCGCAUGGGCAUUAUGCUACAAAGAUCACCAACUAUGGAAGUGGUGGGACACCGAUUCGAGAUAGCGAGGUGAGGUUCAUGUAGCGCUAUCUCUGAAAUGACACGUGAACACGCUCGUUAAACGCGUAUCCUCGCUGAUGGUAAAUCGAUGGACCGAUUAAACUGCAACGAGUCAUUUGACACUGGCAUGAAGAAAGGAAAAGCCGAAAGUUCAUUGAACGUGAUCGAAUUAUGAUGGAACGUCAGACUUAAAUGGAAGAUACAUAAUGAAAAAUUUCAAGGGAAACUUUGCAUUUCAUUAAAUUUCUUUUUUUCUUUAAAAAUAACGUCGGUAGUUCAAUCUUAUCCUGAUUAAUCAGCACUUUCUCUUACAUAGCGGCAUAUUAAUCGUAGAGUCUUGAAUAUAACAGAUUAAAUUGAUAAAGGAGAUAUCAAGUACUUGAAGUUUAAUGAAUUUUAAGUUACUCUUUAUACGAAGGCUAGUGUCUCCUAUUUCUGUAAUCGUUGAUGCUAUUGCACUUUGAUAUAUUAAAAACUUUGUGCUCGUACUGUAUAACGUCACUUUUAUUGUUUCUGCAGUCAGAAUCACACGGAAAUGCAGUAGGUUUUUCACCGUAACGAGGAGAACCGGUUUAACCGGGAACAAAAUUUUUGUAUAACGCUGGAAACAAACCAGUUUUUGUUUCAUGCGUACAAGAAAUAGAGGAGCAUUUGUAAGUGCCGUGGAUUUACGAGCUGUGCGUCAAACAUUAACUGUACUUCCCUUAAUUUAUUCUACACACGCGGCAGAUAUUACGAUAUAAGUAUGCUAAUAAA